rfam:Oryza nivara chromosome 6, whole genome shotgun sequence.
AAUAAGUUCAUUUGUAGGUUUCUUUGUUCAAUGUUUGAUUGUCCGUCUUAUUUUAAAAAAGUUAUAAUUAGUACUUUUGUUGUUAUUAGAUUAUAAAAUAUGCAUGAAUAGUAUUUUAUGUGUAACUUACAUUUUUAAAAAAUUUAUAUUUUUUCAAAUAAGAUGGACGGUCAAACGUUGAACACAAAAACCCACAAAUAAACUUAUU